rnacentral:misc_RNA from 1 species
CAUUCAGUAGCCUAGCUACUUGUUUAUACCCUUGUUUUUUUUGCGUACCUAUUGUUUCCUCGGUGGGCUUGCCUGCCGGUUGGACAAAAACUAUAACCUUUUUAAAUCUUCAAUCAGCGUCUGAAUUAUACAUAAUAAUUA